ACAACCCUGAUAGGUUCGUAAAGACUUUAUACUAAAGUCUUGCAUUCCAUACAUGAAAACUAAUAACCUAAAUAUUUCCCUAGCCAUUCUUUCUACAGAAACAUGGAGUUAUAAGAAACUUAAGAGGACUGUUUUUUAAGCCAGAAAACUCUCUCAGUUUCUGAGAGUCUCAGUAUUCCAGAGCCAAUUCUAUAUAUUGUUUAUUGCCUAGAUUGAUUUAAUGUAUGGUAACUGAUGUAAAUUUGUGUUGGCAUACAUGGCUCACAACCCGUGAAAACAGAGCUUCUCUUGUCAGUAUGCAUAAGGAGCACAUCUUUACAGAAGUAAUUUAUGCCAAAAUCUCUGCAUUUCAGAAUUUUUCUUAAAUAUACUGAAAGCAUAGAAAAAAUCUUGUAAUAGGUUCCAAGUUUUUAGCUAAUAUAAUAAAUGUGUGCAAAUCAACAACUAUUUUAAUUAAAUAUCAUUUAGAUAAUUUCUGUCACAUUUUCAUUAGUAUAUCCAUGACGUUAGCCUGCAAUAGCCUUCAACACAGUAAUAGCCUUAUUCUUUUAAAUAAUAAAUAAUUCACCUACCUUUGUCUCAUAUUUCUCUGAAGUCCUAAGCUUUACUUCCACCUCUGUACACGUGUGCUCAUCUGAGCUGCAUUUAAUUUUACUGAAGCAAGAAACAUUUAGAAAUAUUCAAGUUCUUCUGUGAUAUAUUUGUUCAGUGUAUCAAGAUAUUGACAUCUUGGUUCAGAGGUAGAAGAGAAGCUUGAUGAAACAGUCUUUUAUUCUAUACUCAUAGCUGUUUUUAUUUUUUUCUUUCUUUCUUUCUUUCUUCUCCCUUUGGUCUAAUUGUUUAUGAGGUAUUUUUUCAAGGGGACAAAUUCCAGUCUUGACAAGGACAACUGCUGGAAUUCUGGAGUUGCAUCUACUACUGCUAGUCUCAGCUUGUGGCAUUUUAUAAUGUACUUCGUGGCAACUGAUGACAGCAUAUUUCCUUCUAAUGUGACCUGGAGAGAAUAAAACACGGAAUCAUACUGUGGCAGAGAGAGAAACAGGAAAUACUCAAAGGCGUCAGCUCAAGCACAAGACAGAGGACACACUAUAUGGAUAUCUCAAAGUGUGCUUUAAACAGAUACAUCCAGAGAGAAUGACUGUAGGUAAGACUUAACUCUGUGCCUAAUGUAGAACAUGACAGACAAUAGGGUUUCAGUUCCGUGUGGAUGUACUCAAGGGAGGGAAAAAGCCUCUCCCUAAGGUGUUCAGCUGGAAGUGACUGAAGGACUUGGAGGACUGUUUCUCAUGUCACCAGAAGAAUGCUCAAUGCAAUUCACAAGAAAUAAUAACCUCUACUCCAAAUGUGUUUAUUGGAAAAAAAAAAAAAUAGAGACAUGAAGAAUGUUAAGAGAAAAAAUAUUUUUUAUAAGUAGAAUUAUUUUUAUCAGCUUUCCUAGAAGCAACACAGAAUUUCUUGAUUAGAAGGAACAGGAAUUAAAACUUGUGUUCAUGGUCUACAUUCAGCAAUUCCAAAAGCAAGCAUUUAGCUUUCCAUUUUGGUGUAAAAGCUUGUGUGGAACAGAACUGAUUUUCUUCAUAGUGUCUGGUGUGAUUCUGUAUUUUGUCUAUAGGAGAAAAACAAUGUUGAUGAUACACCAAUGUUUUAGUUGUUGCUGAGCAGUGCUGUACAGAGCCAUGAACCUUCCGGUUUUUCAGCUUCUCAUGAUGUCGUGCCAGCAAGGCGCUGGGACAGCAUAAGAAGCUGGGAGGGGGCAGGGCCAGCACAGCUGACCUGAAGUGGCCAAAGAGAUAUUCCGUACCAUAAGAUGUCAUAUGGAAAAACUAUAAAACUUAAAGUAGUUGGCUGGGGGAGAACCACUGCCUUGACACUGGGGACCGGCUUGGCAUUGACUGACAGGUGGUGAGUAAUUGCUUUGUGCAUCACUUGGAAUAUAUGUAAUUAUCAUUACUCUUAUCAUUACUCUCUCCUCCUUUUCUAUCUUAGUAAAUAGUUUUUAUCUUAACCUUCAAGUUCUAUGUUUUUUUUUCUGAUUCUAUGCCCUGUCCUACUGGGAGUGCAGGCAGCAGAAGACUGUGGAGUUUAGGUGCUUGAUGGGUUAAAGCACAACACCUUGGUGGAAGGCACUGGAGAUCUAUAUUUUUGCUCUGUAAAAGACAGAGGAAGCAGAAUACAAACAUUUAACUUUUCAGCAGUGUGAAAAUAAGAUAAAGCCUGCAAGAAGGGGGUAGAGGAAGAAAAUAAAGUUAUAAUUGAGGUGAUAUGUGUUUUUCUCACUCUUACUCUGAUGGGCAAAGAAAUACUGUAAAUGCUAUAUCAGGUAAUAACACAGCAGAAAAACUUUUCCUGAGCAGAAGGAAGCGAUUCAAUUCAUAAUUGUAAGGGAUGUAGUCAAGCUUACUGGAUGGUAUUCAGGAACAGUGUAAAUGGCUAUUAAAAUAUGGGUCUCAUUCAAAUUGCUGUGACAGGGCAGAGAGAACAUUGCAAGGUUAGGUCAUGACAAUUUUCAUGGUAGACUUAAGUCUAGCCAGCCAAUCAAUCAUCCAAUGAAUUUAAGAUUUUAACUAAACUAAGCUUGAAAUAGAGGUCCACAGUUAUAUCAAAGAUAAAAGCAUGAAGAAAUGUGGAAACAGAUUUAGAAACAAAUAAUUCAAAAAAAAGUAUCACCUAUUUUGAGUCCAUAAACUUACCAUCACACUGAGGUAAGAGCAGCCUUUGGAAAAGUCCGGUUAAAGUAAAUUUUCGCAGCAUAAAUAUCACAUGGCAAACUCUUACUAAAUGAAUAUGUUGUCUAUAUGAUGUUUCUUGUAUUAUAAGUUAUACUAUAUCAGAUCAGAAAUAAUUUUCUACAGAAAAUCUACAGAAAAGUGUAGAAACUUUUCUGCAUAAGAUACAUGUGAAUUUACCAAAACUGCCAAAAGAAUUUUUAAAAAGUAAGAUAAAUAAUGAGAGAAAAUGGUAUUAUAUACAAUCUGGGUAUUUUAGUUUAUUUUUAAAAUACGUGUUGCUGUGAAUGUCGUGCAAAGUUAACAAUUCAAAAUAUCUUUUUUUGCAAGCCUUACUAGUAUAAUUUCUAAUUCUUGGUCAUCUUAGUGUGUCAAAAAUAUGAAAUAAGACUCUAAGAUAUUUUCUUUGACAUGUAUGUCAUCUGUUUUUUUGUUGUUGUUUUGUUGUUGAUGUUUUGUUUUGUUUCUUUUUUUAACAUUACUAGGGGCUGUUUCACCAAAAAAAAAAACCAACCAAACAAACAAACAAAAAAACUUUCUACUCAAAGUAUUUGAAACACUGCAUCCAGAAGUACUGCCAUCGGGAGUAGUGCAUCCAGGACUUGGGCGCACAGCACAACGAAGACUUGGAACAGUUGGAGUGGGUCCAGAGGAGGGCUGUGAGGACGAUUACAGUGCUGAAGAAUUUCCCUUAUAAAGAAAGGGUGACUUGUUUAGCCUGGAAGAAUAGAAAACUUGGGGAGAACUCCCAGCUUUCAAGUACUUGAGGGGAGCUUAUAAGCAGGAGGGAGACCAGUUUUUUACAAGUUCUGAUAGUAAGAUAUCAAAAUAUAUAUCAGAAUAUCAAAAGAUAUGAUAAGACAAGGGGGAAUGUUUUUAAACUAAAACAGGAGAGAUUUACAUCAGAUAUUAGGGAGAAAUUUUUCAGUGAGAGGAGGUUGAGGCACUGGAACAGAUGGUCAAGAGAAGCUGCGGAUGCUCCAUUCCUGGAGGCAUUCAAGGUCAAGUUGGAUGGGGCCCUGGGCAGCCUGAGCUGGUGGGUGGCAACCCUGUCCACAGCAGGAGGGUUGGAACUGGAUGAGCUUUAAGAUCCCUUCCAACCAAAGCCAUUCUGUGAUCCUAUGAUUCUUCUCAUCUCAUUGGAUUCCAGAACUAAGAGAGAGCAUCAAAAAAGAAGACAAAGGGAUUUCUCAGAUAGUCAGAAAUGUUGCAAAACAGCAUAUCUAAAUGAAAUCACCUAGUCAGAAUAUAUAUUGACAAGAUAGAAGUACAGAUUUUACUUUCCCAGCACGUUUUCUAAAUGAAAAAAUUCAAGUCAGUAGAUAACCAAAAAAUAGAUGCUGUUUUCUGCAACAAACAAACAAACAAACAAAUAAAUAAAUAAAUAAAGCUUGACUGUUAUGAAAGGAAAUCUUGUUGGCUUUUUUUUUUUUUUUUUUUUUUCCCAGUUCUAAAGAAAUUCAGGUAAGUAGAAGAAUCAAGGACCAAUAAAUUUUAUCCAGAGAAGUUUAGAAAAUUCAAGAGGCAAAAAAUUCUUCCAAAUGUGUUAAAACAUUGAACACUACAAAGUCUUAGUGAAUUUGGUUCCAGAUGACCGUCCCAAUGUUAAAACUUAAUCAUAUGUAGCGCAGCCAAUUAACUUCUCUGCUUUUCCAUGAAGAGUGUAUGAAUUGAGAUGAUCACGAAGACAUUUAAAAUUCUAUGUAUAAUAUUCAAUUAUAGGGUUCUCAGUAGGAAUAGUACUAUGGCAUGUGCAUAGUAAAAGUUUAACUUGAGCGCAGAAGAGAAGAUAAAAUUUCAAUUAAAGAUUUCAAUAUAUUCUUUACGACCAGACAAAUG